rnacentral:tRNA from 1 species
GGAGAGAUGGCAGAGUGGUCGAAUGCGGUAGUCUUGAAAACUAUUGAGCCGUAAGGUUCCGGGGGUUCGAAUCCCUCUCUCUCCGCCA